UACGUAGGGUGCAAGCGUUAAUCGGAAUUACUGGGCGUAAAGCGUGCGCAGGCGGUUUUGUAAGUCUGUCGUGAAAGCCCCGGGCUCAACCUGGGAAUUGCGAUGGAGACUGCAAGGCUUGAAUCUGGCAGAGGGGGGUAGAAUUCCACGUGUAGCAGUGAAAUGCGUAGAGAUGUGGCGGAACACCGAUGGCGAAGGCAGCCCCCUGGGUCAAGAUUGACGCUCAGGCACGAAAGCGUGGGGAGCAAACAGG
rnacentral:rRNA from 1 species